rnacentral:rRNA from 1 species
UACGGAAGGGGCAAGCGUUGUUCGGAAUCAUUGGGCGUAAAGGGCGCGUAGGUGGUUCUGUAUGUCUAUCGUGAAAGCGUACGGCUCAACCGUAUUUGGUCGGUAGAAACUGCAGGACUUGAGGCUGGGAGGGGCUGGUGGAAUUCCCUGUGUAGCGGUGAAAUGCGUAGAUAUCAGGAGGAACACCGGUGGCGAAGGCGGAUCUCUGGGCCGAUACUGACGCUGAGGAGCGAAAGCGUGGGGAGCGAACAGG